GGAAAGUUAUGCAGCGGGGUUGGUCCUGCGACCGGUCUUGAAAACCGGGUUCUCCUAACGGGGAUGGGGUUCGACUCCUCAACUUUCCGCCA
rnacentral:tRNA from 1 species